UACGUAGGGGGCAAGCGUUGUCCGGAAUUAUUGGGCGUAAAGAGCGCGUAGGCGGUCCGAUAAGUCGGCUGUGAAAGUCCAGGGCUCAACCCUGGAAAGCCGGCCGAUACUGUCGGACUAGAGUCCGGAAGAGGCAAGUGGAAUUCCCGGUGUAGCGGUGAAAUGCGUAGAGAUCGGGAGGAACACCAGUGGCGAAGGCGGCUACCUGGACCAGCACUGACACUGAGGCACGAAAGCGUGGGGAGCAAACAGG
rnacentral:rRNA from 1 species